GUUUUAUUUGCUGUUAUUACACUUUAUACAUUGACAGUCAUGUCGUGCUGUGCUGUUGGUUGUACUAACGGGCCAUCCCAGAGAAGCUCUGUGCAGUUUUUUUUCGUUUUCCUUUAGGUGUGCAGCAUGCAGACAGACUGAGACGAUGGCUGGUGAACAUAAGACGACAAGACUGGGAGCCCAGCAAGUCAUCUCAUCUCUGUAGUCUUCAUUUUGAAGACCAUGAAUUCACCAUUGAUACCUAUGGGAAUCGUCUGACUUGCACUGCAGUACCAACUGUGUUCUCCCUUCCUGACCACCUGGUGAAGAGACCUGCUAGUAGAAAGGCAAGUGGUUAUUUUCUUAUCCUUUCUUUGUCAAGUGCUGCAAAUGAGAAGGAAUGUGAAAUGGUGACUGCUAAUAAAUCAGAUCAAAUGUGGCUUGUCAGUAGUGAGCAGUUACAUUUUUGUGUCACCCAAGACAUUAAAACGAAAGAAUGAUGUCAUGGUUGAGAUUGUGGAGAAAUAUUAAAAGAGGAUGAGAAAGUAAGAUGUGUAAAGUAAGUUUCAUGGCAUAACACAAACUUAGAACUUUUUUUGUGUUGUCUGUAAUGCUAUACAACUGUGUUCCGCCUCCUUCCUGCACCACCACCACCAUCACCAAAGCUGAAGGUCCACGCCACCAUCGCUAGAGCUGAAGGUCUACACCACCACCAUCACCAGAGCUGAAGGUCCACGCCACCAUCGCCAGAGCUGAAGGUCUACACCACCACCAUCACCAGAGCUGAAGGUCUACAACGCUGCUGCCACCAGAGCUGAAAUCUCUCUAAGUUAAUGACUAACCCCCCCUCACCCCUUGGCAAACACAAUAAAACAUGGUCAUUUGUGGAUA